GACGAACGCUGGCGGCGUGCUUAACACAUGCAAGUCGAACGGAAAGGCCCUGCGUUUGUGGGGUUCUCGAGUGGCGAACGCGUGAGUAACACGUGAGUAACCUGCCCUUGACUUUGGGAUAACUUCAGGAAACUGGGGCUAAUACCGGAUAGGAGCUCCUGCUGCAUGGGGGGGGUUGGAAAGUGUCGGCGGUUUGGGCUGGACUCGCGGGUUAUGCGCUGGUUGGUGGGGUAGUUGCGUACCAAGGCUUUGAAGGGUAGGCGGCCUGGGAGGGUGGCCGGCCACAUUGGGCCUACGGUACGGCCCAGACGCCAACGUGAGGCAGCGGUCGGGAACCUUGCGCAAUGGCCGGAAGCCUGAGGCAGAGACGCUGCGUGCGGGAUGACGGCCUUCGGGUUGUAAACAGAUUUCGCAGGUGCCGAAGCGUGAUUGACGGUAACGGGUAAAAAAGCCCCGGCUAACUACGUG
rnacentral:rRNA from 1 species